GAUGAACGCUGGCGGCGUGCUUAACACAUGCAAGUCGAACGUGAGAAUAGCAAUAUUUGAAAGUGGCAAACGGGUGAGUAACACGUGGGAACCUGCCCUGGAGUGGGGGAUAACGACUGGAAACGGUCGCUAAUACCGCACAGUUCUACUCUAUCGGGAGUUGAGUAGAUAAAGAUUUAUCGCUCUGGGAGGGGCCCGCGGCCGAUUAGCUAGUUGGUGAGGUAAUGGCUCACCAAGGCAAUUAUCGGUAGCUGGUCUGAGAGGACGAUCAGCCACAUGGGAACUGAGACACGGUCCCAACUCCUACGGGGGGCAGCAGUGAGGAAUAUUGGGCAAUGGGCGAAAGCCUGACCCAGCAACGCCGCGUGGAGGAUGAAGGCUUUAGGGUCGUAAACUCCUUUGUGGGGGAAAAGUAAGGAUGGUACCCCAAGAAUAAGUCACGGCUAACUACGUG
rnacentral:rRNA from 1 species